UCGGAUAUGGUGUAACGGCUAACAUUACCGCUUUUCAAAAGUGAUACACGAUCAUUGUUCGCGGUAGCUCGGGGUUCGAUUCCCCGUAUCCGAG